rnacentral:rRNA from 1 species
GACGAACGCUGGCGGCGUGCCUAAUACAUGCAAGUAGAACGCUGAAGGAGGAGCUUGCUUCUCCGGAUGAGUUGCGAACGGGUGAGUAACGCGUAGGUGACCUGCCUGGUAGCGGGGGAUAACUAUUGGAAACGAUAGCUAAUACCGCAUAACAGUAGAUAUUGCAUGAUAUCUGCUUGAAAGGUGCAAUUGCAUCACUACCAGAUGGACCUGCGUUGUAUUAGCUAGUUGGUGAGGUAACGGCUCACCAAGGCGACGAUACAUAGCCGACCUGAGAGGGUGAUCGGCCACACUGGGACUGAGACACGGCCCAGACUCCUACGGGAGGCAGCAGUAGGGAAUCUUCGGCAAUGGACGGAAGUCUGACCGAGCAACGCCGCGUGAGUGAAGAAGGUUUUCGGAUCGUAAAGCUCUGUUGUAAGAGAAGAACGAGUGUGAGAGUGGAAAGUUCACACUGUGACGGUAUCUUACCAGAAAGGGACGGCUAACUACGUGCCAGCAGCCGCGGUAAUACGUAGGUCCCGAGCGUUGUCCGGAUUUAUUGGGCGUAAAGCGAGCGCAGGCGGUUAGAUAAGUCUGAAGUUAAAGGCUGUGGCUUAACCAUAGUACGCUUUGGAAACUGUUUAACUUGAGUGCAAGAGGGGAGAGUGGAAUUCCAUGUGUAGCGGUGAAAUGCGUAGAUAUAUGGAGGAACACCGGUGGCGAAAGCGGCUCUCUGGCUUGUAACUGACGCUGAGGCUCGAAAGCGUGGGGAGCAAACAGG